rnacentral:lncRNA from 1 species
GGAAGUGCUACUUUUGGGCUCUCAUUAAAACUUGGCACCUUCUUCAUGAUAGUGCCAGAGUAAGGAGUAAGUCUGACGGGUGAAGGGGCACUACCCUUAUACAUUGCUCCAGCUCUCCAAUACCUACGUCCAUACAGGUCCUCAAAUGUCUUGGUCGUCCCAGUAAACCCAACAUCCAGUUUCUGGCCUUUUGUUCUAUCAGAAUCAGUGUCAUCAUGUUCUAAAAUCUUUCCCAUUAUUUUUACAAGAUCUUCACAAUAAGAAACUGGAUGCAACUGAUGAGUGUGCCAGAUAAGGUCAAUGUCGUAAGUGGGAACAGAGAAGCUCUUGAUGCCUUUCUCCUUGUUUCUCUUGAUUAGGUGCAGAAAUCCUUUGUAC